rnacentral:rRNA from 1 species
UGGGGAAUUUUGGACAAUGGGCGAAAGCCUGAUCCAGCAAUGCCGCGUGUGUGAAGAAGGCCUUCGGGUUGUAAAGCACUUUUGUCCGGAAAGAAAUCCUUGGCUCUAAUACAGUCGGGGGAUGACGGUACCGGAAGAAUAAGCACCGGCUAACUACGUGUCAGCAGCCGCGGUAAUACGUAGGGUGCAAGCGUUAAUCGGAAUUACUGGGCAUAAAGCGUGCGCAGGCGGUUUGCUAAGACCGAUGUGAAAUCCCCGGGCUCAACCUGGGAACUGCAUUGGUGACUGGCAGGCUAGAGUAUGGCAGAGGGGGGUAGAAUUCCACGUGUAGCAGUGAAAUGCGUAGAGAUGUGGAGGAAUACCGAUGGCGAAGGCAGCCCCCUGGGCCAAUACUGACGCUCAUGCACGAAAGCGUGGGGAGCAAAACAGGAUUAGAUACCCUGGUAGUCCACGCCCUAAACGAUGUCAACUAGUUGUUGGGGAUUCAUUUCCUUAGUAACGUAGCUAACGCGUGAAGUUGACCGCCUGGGGAGUACGGUCGCAAGAUUAAAACUCAAAGGAAUUGACGGGGUCAUAGCUGUUUCCU